GAAGCGUCCUCAGCGACGGA
rnacentral:snRNA from 1 species